ensembl:snRNA U6 U6 spliceosomal RNA
GUGCUCACUUUGGCAGCACACACACUGACAUUGUAACAAUACAGAGAUUAGCAUGGUCCCUGCAUAAGGAGGAUAUUGUAACAUAGCAUGGAUGAGCAGGAACUGUUG